rnacentral:rRNA from 1 species
AUUGAACGCUGGCGGCAUGCCUAACACAUGCAAGUCGAGCGGACGGCGGCAGGGUGCUCCUGGAUUGAGCGGGGGAGUGGCGAGUAAGGGCGAGGAAUGUGCGUGGUAUUCGGGGAUAACGUCCGUAAACGUGGGCUAAUACCGCAUAUGUCCUGAGGGAGAAAGGAGCAGAUGUUCGGACGUGGCGCUGUCAGAUGAGCCUUGGGCGGAUUAGCUAGUUGGUGGGGUAAAGGCCUACCAAGGCGACGAUCCGUAACUGGUCUGAGAGGAUGAUCAGUCACACUGGAACUGAGACACGGUCCAGACUCCUACGGGAGGCAGCAGUGGGGAAUAUUGGACAAUGGGCGAAAGCCUGAUCCAGCAAUGCCGCGUGUGUGAAGAAGGUCUUCGGAUUGUAAAGCACUUUAAGUUGGGAGGAAGGGCAGUAAGUUAAUCCCUUGCUGUUUUGACGUUACCAACAGAAUAAGCACCGGCUAACUUCGUG